rnacentral:rRNA from 1 species
AUUGAACGCUGGCGGAAUGCUUUACACAUGCAAGUCGAACGGCAGCACGGGAGCUUGCUCCUGGUGGCGAGUGGCGAACGGGUGAGUAAUGCGUCGGAACGUGCCGAGUAAUGGGGGAUAACGCAGCGAAAGUUGUGCUAAUACCGCAUACGCCCUGAGGGGGAAAGCGGGGGACCUUCGGGCCUCGCACUAUUGGAUGAGCCUAUGUCAGAUUAGCUUGUUGGUGGGGUAACGGCCUACCAAGGCGACGAUCUGUAGCUGGUCUGAGAGGACGAUCAGCCACACUGGGACUGAGACACGGCCCAGACUCCUACGGGAGGCAGCAGUGGGGAAUAUUGCACAAUGGGCGAAAGCCUGAUGCAGCAAUGCCGCGUGUGUGAUGAAGGCCUUCGGUUGUAAGUACACUGUUCUAGAGGGAA